GGGGCUAAACGACGCCAAUAAGUCGAGAACAAAGAAGCCGAGAGAUCGAGGUCGAGCGAGGUCAAGCUGUCAAGAUUGAAAAGUCGAUAGAUUUUGAGAUCGAGAGCGCAAGGCCGAAUGAGGCUGACAGGUUAAGGCCGAAACGAGGUUGAGGACGAACAAAGUCGAGAGAUCGAGGUCAAGCGAGACUAGGCUAUCAGGAUUGAAAAGUUGAAAAAUCCAAGCUUGAGAGGUCGAGGUUGAAUAAGGUCGAGAAGUUAACUUCUUCCACUUUUAUAUUACUCGUCAUGUUUUUAUGGUUAAAAUAGGAAUAAGAGUGAUCAACCAAAAGAUGAUGAUGAAUCCAAAAAUGAUUGAUGAAGAAUAACUAAUGCAAAAAAUAUGUAUCGCAUAAAGAA
rnacentral:lncRNA from 1 species